UGCCAGCAGCCGCGGUAAUACGUAGGGGUCGAGCGUUGUCCGGAGUUACUGGGCGUAAAGCGCGCGCAGGUGGCUCAUUACGCCCGGCGUGAAAGCCCCCGGCUCAACCGGGGAAGGUCGUCGGGUACGGGUGAGCUUGAGGGUAUCAGGGGCAGGUAGAAUUCCCGGUGUAGUGGUGAAAUGCGUAGAGAUCGGGAGGAAUACCCGUGGCGAAGGCGGCCUGCUGGGAUACACCUGACACUGAGGCGCGAAGGCGUGGGGAGCGAACGGGAUUAGAUA
rnacentral:rRNA from 1 species